CUUACCAGGUCUUGACAUCCACUUAAACUUACAGAGAUGUAAGGUGUGCUUGCACAAAGUGAGACAGGUGGUGCAUGGUUGUCGUCAGCUCGUGUCGUGAGAUGUUGGGUUAAGUCCCGCAACGAGCGCAACCCUUAUCUUCAGUUACUAACGCGUGAAGGUGAGGACUCUGAAGAGACUGCCGGGGACAACUCGGAGGAAGGUGGGGACGACGUCAAAUCAUCAUGCCCCUUAUGACCUGGGCUACACACGUGCUACAAUGGCCACGACAGAGAGAAGCGAAAUCGCAAGGUAGAGCGGAACUCAAAAAAGUGGUCCCAGUUCGGAUUGUGGGCUGCAACCCGCCCACAUGAAGUCGGAGUUGCUAGUAAUCGCGGAUCAGCAUGCCGCGGUGAAUACGUUCCCGGGCCUUGUACACACCGCCCGUCACACCAUGGGAGUUGGGAGUGCCCAAAGCCGGUGAGGCAACCGCAAGGAGCCAGCCGUCUAAGGCAAGACCAAUGACUGGGGUGAAGUCGUAACAAGGUAGCCGUAUCGGAAGGUGCGGCUGGAUCACCUCCUUU
rnacentral:rRNA from 1 species